AUUUUUUCCAAUAAAUUUCUAAAGCUAUAUUUUAGAAAUCAAAAAAAUAUUUGCAUUAAAACCAUUAUUCCCUUAAGUUUUUAGAGGAUUCUGUUUGACUUUGGCAUGAAUAAAUUCCAUUCUCUUAUUUGCACUGCUACUAGAUAUGAUGAGUUUUAGCAGAGAUCCUGGAACAACUGCUGCCUAUCACGGUGUGAAAUCAAUGACAUGGAGUCCUGUAGAAACUAUUUACUUUGCUAUAUCUCCUCAAUAUAUGUAUAUACAAACAAGAUCUUUGGCACUGGCUUGAAAUCCACAGCAAGAGCUCAUGGUGAACCCUUAACGGGAGCUGCGAAGGAUGAAGAGUUAGACCAAUAUACUAAUUCAUCUCGCUUCUUCCCUGAUGAAAAUUUACAAGCAAGAAAAGUUGCAAAGCAAGCCUUGGGGGAAGGAAGAGAGUAUCAACAUCACAAUGAAAUCUGCAUUUGCCAUUUUAAGUCAGAUCGUGUAACAGGAAUUAGAGAAGCCUGCUGUGUUUAAAAAUCAUCUUUUGCCCUUGUGUGUGUGUGUUUCAGCAUUGAAAUAAUCAGUCGUCUUUCAAAUAUGAUUUAAUAGCAUAAUUAAAGUACCCACUAGCACAACUUUCGAAGCUAAGCUUUUCCUUUUUCUAGUGCACUUAGAAAUUUUUUCACUUGUGUUUGAUAGCCCAGACCAAUUGACUUAGAAUUCCCUGCCUGAUAUUGUAAAGAAUUUACUUCUAUUUAUGUCUUUUAACACAUAAAAUGUUCUAAACUGUCACCUGUAGUUAUGGUAGCAUGUAGGCAAUGAAGCUUAACAGGACAUCUGACUAAACUAGAUGUGACAUGUUAGUAUCACUAUACAUCAAAUUUGAUAUAAUGCCCUUUUUUCACUUUAUAUUAUAAAAUAUUUGAUUUUGCUUUUUCGUAUUUUUUGCUUUUCUUUUCAGAUUCAGUAAUAUAUAAAAAUAUCAAGUUUUAAAAUUUAGUGAACCCACGACCUAACGCCUUGAAGUAAUUAACAAAUAAGACAACAUGUGUUUGCCUGUGCAUAUGCAUGUAAACAUACUUAUUAAUACAGUCAUGUUGGAGGGCGUGAUUUCCACAGCAUCUUUUAGAUAUUCAGAGGUUACUUUGGAGCAGCCUAUACUUUUGAUUUUUAGCAAUGUUCUUGCAAACCAGUCAUUCAAUUCUACUGGAAUGAGAUUUAAACAGUCCAAGUAUGGCUGUGUAUUCAUAUGCUUCUCCUUGUGUCCCUCUCCCCUCCCACCACCCCAAGGCUCUGGUAAAGACAUUUUAUUUUUGUUCUCCAGACUCCUUAUAUAGGUCUAAUCUAUUACUCUUUAUUCACCAAUGUCUGUAUAUUGCAGUGACUAAUUUCUUAUUAUUCCUCUACCGAGACUCUUCUGCAAAAUUCUUGGGAAAAUGAAUUCAUUAAGUCUUCUUACAUUCUGGUUGCAGUUUAUGGUUGGCCCUUAGAUUUUGGGAUUCAGGUCUACCAUUCACAGCCUAGAGAGACAAACAUGAUAGCAGUUGUUUUCUUUUGGAUAAAGGAGUUAAGAUUUUUUCCAUAUAAACAGUUGGGGAAAAAGCAGAUAUAUUUAUUAGGCCUUAUUUAAGAGUUUAUUGAUUCUGUUUAAGAAAAUCAUUAAAAACAUCAAAAAAAAAAAAAAACAGUGUGGAAGGAACUUUCAAUGCUGAACUUUGAACAUUGAAACUUGAACAUUAAAGCAUGAACAUUGGCUUUCAAACACACCAACAAAACAAUUAUUAUAUAUAUGUAACUUUCACUGUAUGAAUUUACAUGCCAACUUGUGGACUUCUCUUUGUAGAAAAGAAAACAUGAAAGAUUAAUAUAUUGUUUUAUAGGCCAUUAACAAGUGCUGUAUUUUAUCUAGCAGUCUUAUUUUAACAUUUCUCCCCACAUUAUCUUUAUAUGCUAGUUCCACGAAAUGUAUUUUAAACCAG
ensembl:lincRNA